rnacentral:rRNA from 1 species
AACGAACGCUGGCGGCGUGGAUAAGACAUGCAAGUCGAACGCUGAUUUCAGGGUAGCAAUAUUCUGGAGUCGGAGUGGCGCAAGGGUGCGUAACACGUGGGUAAUUUGCCAUGAAGCCCGGAAUAACUCGCUGAAAGGCGAGCUAAUACCGGAUGUGAUCUUCGGGAGGCAUCUCCUGAACCUCAAAGCUGGGGACCGUAAGGCCUGGCACUUCUUGAUAAGCCCGCGGCCUAUCAGCUAGUUGGUGAGGUAACGGCUCACCAAGGCUAAGACGGGUAGCUGGUCUGAGAGGACGACCAGUCACACUGGAACUGAGACACGGUCCAGACACCUACGGGUGGCAGCAGUCGAGAAUUUUUCUCAAU